rnacentral:lncRNA from 1 species
GUUUCUCUUGAUCUAUAUGAGUGUCCGGUUACGAGGGUUAAGGAUUAUCGAUCUAGGGUUUUUGGUUUGAUUAGGUCGUUGAAGUAUUUGGAUAAGAUGGAUGCUGAGGGUAAUGAGAGGCCGGAAUCGGAUGACGAGGAGGAUGAUGAAGAGGAGGAUGAUGAGGAUGAUCCAGGGAGUGGGGAAGUUGACGGUGAGGAUAGGCCGAUUAGGAGGGAGAAUGGACAUAGGGUUGAGAGUGAAGGAGUUGUUGAUGUGGAUGAGGAUGAGAGUGAUGCUGAUGAGGAGGAGACGGAGAUAACUAGAGGGAGUAAUGGGUCGAAAGGGGAGGGUUCGAGUCAUUCAAAUGGUUUUCGAGUAGGAGAGGCAGGUUCUGAUGGAGAGGAUGAUGAUGACGAGGAUGAGGAUGAGGAUGAUGAAGAUGAGGAUUUUGUGGAGGAGAUAGAUGAAGAGGGAGAUGAAGAUGAUGUUGUGGAGGUUCAUGAGAUAGAAGACAGUGAUGAGGACGAGGAAGAGGAUGGUGUGGAAGAUGAUGAGGAUGACGACGACGAAGAGGAUGAAGAGGAAGUUGAUAAUGAUGAUGGGGAUACGGCAGAGCCAGAAAGUACGGGGAGGUUGAAUAGCACAGAAGGUGAGAUUGAUGGACAUGAACAUGGGGAAGAUGAUUCUGAUGAGGAUGAUGAUGGGGAGACUGGAGAGGAGGAGCAAGGUGUCGAGGAGGAUGGCAAUUUCGAUGAUGAUGAGGAUGCUGAAGAUGAGGUGAAAAUCUCUCCUUUUUUAGUUGGUUAUUUGUUUUUUCGUUUUUAUGUUUGAUAUGUCAUAAUUUGUUUGGUUUGUUUUUACUCUAAUGUUUCUUAUUAUUAGUUUUAUGAAAUAUGUAUAUAUAGUGUGUGUUUCUGCAAUUUGCAUGGUCAAUUUGCUUAUUGAUGCUAGAGUGUUGUUAGAAUUCUUAUAUUGUUGGAGCUUUGUAGCCAUUAAUUGAUUUGAUCUUUAAAUUGAUUGUUUUUGGAAAUACCUGUAAUGUUGGAAAUAUUGUUGUUGGAAGUCUUUGUAAUAGUAUCAGAUUUGCCCCAGGUAGUAACUUCAGGCUACUCCAAACAUGGAAGUUCGGUGCACAGAUUGAUUCUGUUGCCUUAGAAACCAAGCUGAUUUAUUAGAUCAAGUUGGUGUGUAAUAUAUAUUCUGCUUGAAGCUGUAUUAUGUGAUCUGCUUGAAGCGGUGUUGUGGAUGUAAUAUAUAUUCUGCUUGAAGCUGUGUAUUGUACAAAAUAUCUGAUGCAGGUACCUAACCGAGUUUUAUGUAAAACUGUGGAGAAACAUUUAACAGAUAAAGCAAAGCUCGUAAGAAGUUUGUCGAAUGAUGGUGGUUUGAUAAUCUAUAUGAUACUUGCAGCUUUAUCUACCUGCUCUUCCUCUAUUCAUAUGAUAAUAUUCUGCGCAGCCUGUCUAAUAUCUGUGGUAACUCUGAUUUUGCCUGAGAUUGAACCAUAUUUAGUUUUUCUGACCCAAAUAUUAUGCAUCAGUAUCUCGAAGAACGUUGCAGUGGAUUGUUUUCUGUUGGGUGAGAGUUCUGAGGAUCUAUUUUUUUUUUUUGGUUUUUUUGCUUGCAAUUAUAGUAGAGGAGCAUAUACUAGCUCUCAAAGAGGAAAAAAUUUGGAUGAUUUUCUGUAUCUUCCUGAAUGACUUGCUAUUUUAUGCAUGGUCUCUUGAUUUCCACAUUUUGGAAUAUAAUGUUGUUUUCUGUGAUCUGUGGUGGUUCCUCUUGAGCUUCUCCUGAAAGAACUUCCUUGAACCUCUUUUUUUACCUCCCUUUUUUGUUUUUUCUCUUGGCUCAAGGUAGUAUAGUAUCUGUUACUUAUAGAAAAGUGGUUAGGGUUCAUGGUGUUUUUAUCAGGCCUUUCAUCUUUUUGUUGGUUUUAAAGUUGAUGUUCUCUUUAAUGACAGCUCUGACACUGUAUUUCUUUUGAUUUUCUGCUUUCCUGCCAUCAUAACCUUUUCUUUAUUUUUUUCCCGAAGAUGACUGUCAAUUGCAAAAGUAUGGGGAAUCUUUACCUUGUUGAAUCUGCUGCUUUUUGCUUCUGAGUUCUUGGUUUUUAAAGAUAGUUAACUGGUGUCGAUUUGCGACCUUUUUUAAUCAAAUAAUUAUUCCAAGUUAAAAUUCACUUUCUUGUUCUCCACUUCCAUGCCCUAUUAUAUGUUGUGUUCCUUUUCUGGCGGGGGACUGUCAAAUUUCAUUGCUGAAGUAUAUGGGUAAUUUUACCCUGUUGAAUCCACUGCUUGUGUUCCUUUCUGCUUUUGUGCUAUAUUGGUUCUUUUUGUUUUUUGCUUGCUGCUGUAAGAUCUUUUAUCUGUGAUUCCGUGGCUCAAUUUUCGUUGGCAUGUAUGAAUGGAUAUUCUACUUUUCCUAGGUGUUUCUGUAAUCCUGUAGCUUUCUUUGUCUCUUGGAAAAUUGCUUUGUGGUUUAGUUGGGAUUAUCAUCAUCUUUUUCUGUCAAAAAUUGUCUUGCGGAUUUUGCAGUGGUAGAUAGAGAGCUUACUGAUUUUCUUAUAAAUGACAGGAAGAAGAUAAUGGCAAUGGCUACCUUGUUCAACCAGUUGGUCAUGUUGAAGUAGAUGAUGCUGAUGGCAGUGAUGUGGAGCCUGUAAAUGGGGAUGAAGAUCCGGAUUUGGAGGAAGAUCUUGAAGAUGAAGAGGAUGAUUAUAGUGAAGUUCAGGAGCUGCUUCCAUCCUCCUCUCAGAAGAGGAAGCGAGAUGAUGAGGAUGAUGAUGGUGGUGAGGAUGAUGAUGAAGAG